rnacentral:tRNA from 1 species
CAAAUUAGAGCUUGAUAAAUUAAAGUUUUUCAUUUACAUUGGAAAGAAAUUAUAAAUUAAUUAAUUUGA